UAUGGCGACCGGCGCACGGGUGAGUAACACGUAUCCAACCUGCCGAUGACUCGGGGAUAGCCUUUCGAAAGAAAGAUUAAUACCCGAUGGCAUAGUUCUUCCGCAUGGUGGAACUAUUAAAGAAUUUCGGUCAUCGAUGGGGAUGCGCUCCAUUAGGUUGUUGGCGGGGUAACGGCCCACCAAGCCUUCGAUGGAUAGGGGUUCUGAGAGGAAGGUCCCCCACAUUGGAACUGAGACACGGUCCAA
rnacentral:rRNA from 1 species